GACGAACGCUGGCGGCGUGCUUAACACAUGCAAGUCGAACGCUGAAGCUCAGCUUUUGUUGGGUGGAUGAGUGGCGAACGGGUGAGUAACACGUGAGUAACCUGCCCCCUUCUUUGGGAUAACGCCCGGAAACGGGUGCUAAUACUGGAUAUUCACUGGUCUUCGCAUGGGGGUUGGUGGAAAGGGUUUUUCUGGUGGGGGAUGGGCUCGCGGCCUAUCAGCUUGUUGGUGGGGUGAUGGCCUACCAAGGCUUUGACGGGUGGCCGGCCUGAGAGGGUGACCGGUCACAUUGGGACUGAGAUACGGCCCAGACUCCUACGGGAGGCAGCAGUGGGGAAUAUUGCACAAUGGGCGCAAGCCUGAUGCAGCGACGCCGCGUGAGGGAUGGAGGCCUUCGGGUUGUGAACCUCUUUCGCUCAUGGUCAAGCCGCAACAAUGGUUGUGGUGAGGGUAGUGGGUAAAGAAGCGCCGGCUAACUACGUG
rnacentral:rRNA from 1 species